UUGGUGCCUGGUCACGUGGCGGAAGCAGAGUGGCUGACUUUUGCAAGAUCUCUUUUGCUUUUGCUUUCCUGGAGCUGCCUGGAAGACCUCCUGCUUGCCGGGCUUGAGGACUAGAAAGCUAGAACUACUUCUGUUCCUGGGUUACAACAUUGGUAAGCAGGAUGGAUUGUGUGAAAUAUUAAAAGCUUUUAAAAAGUU